UCCCAUGUGGCUCAGUUGGUAGAGCAUGGUGUUUGCAACGCCAGGGUUGUGGGUUAGAUUCCCACGGGGGAC
rnacentral:tRNA from 1 species